rnacentral:rRNA from 1 species
UACAGAGGUCUCAAGCGUUGUUCGGAUUCAUUGGGCGUAAAGGGCGCGUAGGCGGCGGGGCAAGUCGGGUGUGAAAUCUCAGGGCUCAACCCUGAAACUGCACUCGAUACUGCUCUGCUUGAGGACUGGAGAGGAGACUGGAAUUCACGGUGUAGCAGUGAAAUGCGUAGAUAUCGGGAGGAACACCUGUGGCGAAAGCGGCGCACUGGACCAUAACUGACGCUGAGGCGCGAAAGCUAGGGGAGCAAACAGG